rnacentral:rRNA from 1 species
UACAGAGGGGGCAAGCGUUGUUCGGAAUUACUGGGCGUAAAGGGCGCGUAGGCGGCCGCCUAAGUCAGACGUGAAAUCCCCGGGCUCAACCCGGGAACUGCGUCCGAUACUGGGAGGCUUGAAUCCGGGAGAGGGAUGUGGAAUUCCAGGUGUAGCGGUGAAAUGCGUAGAUAUCUGGAGGAACACCGGUGGCGAAGGCGGCAUCCUGGACCGGUAUUGACGCUGAGGCGCGAAAGCCAGGGGAGCAAACGGG